CCAUGGCCCGUGAGGGGCGUGGGGGGGGCUCCCCUCAGACGCAGCCCCGCCAAAAUGUGGGGAGUGGGGGGGGGGCGGGAGGUUCCUGCUGAAUUUUAUCGAAAGCCUCAAUUAAAAUUAACCUGCGAAGGCUGUAAUAAGGAAGGACAUUAAGGGAUGUGUAUAGACAGAUAAAUAUAUGUGUGCUGCGACGGCUUGUCGGCGGCGAUUAGGGAAGUCCUGCUGUCUGGAAAUUGGCUUUGCCUCCCAGGAAACCUGAGGGGAGCGCUGCCCUAGUUAAUGCUGCGGGAGCUCUCGGGAGAGGCUCGAAAGGAAAUAGAUACAGGAUUUUUUUUUUUUUUCCGUUCGAAAUAUGCUCUUGAAUAAAUUAGUUUUGCGUCCAGAAAUGGCAUCUGUUUUCCUUGGCUCGGGUGUUUUUUUUUUCUAGGAGUGUUUAGGUAUGCAGCUCACACGGGAAGUGGGUCUAAUAUCUAUCUGAGCAGCUUUGAAUAUCAGUGCUGUGUUGUGUUAGAGAUGUUUUAAUUCAAAAGUAAGGCUGUUUUAAUUCAAGAGUUUAAAUACAGAAAUGCUGUGGGGUCAGUAACCCUGGGAGAGGGAGAGAACGGGCACUUAAAACAUAGAGCUCAUAAGGUGAAAAACGAAGUGUUUAUAAGAGUUAAGUGGCCUGGUGUUCAGUGACACCAUCUGACAACAAACCUUCUCUUUUAUUUUCAAGGAAGAGGCUGAAAACACGGGAUGCAUCUCUGUUUCUCUUGGAGGUCACUUGCUGAUUUAUCCCCAGUUCACAGCUCAUGAGAAGGGAUGGAACUCUUCAGAGAUGCUGUUACAGCAGGUGUGUUUUCCUGGUGCCAUUAAUGACCUCUGCAUUCAGUGACUCCUGACACAGGAAAGAUUUCAGAGAUUAUUCACAUUAAACUGGAAGUCCUUUCCCGUGGGUAUUGCACACGUUGGUUCAUGGAAUACCUGGUAAUAAAUUUACCAAUCUGUAGUUGGGUUCUACUCCCAGGAUGCCAGGGAAUGUCACGGAGUUGGCUGGAUCAGUGUCCAGGCUCAUUUUCAGGUGCAGGUACACUCAGGUAUAAGCAUCCCAGAUUUUCUGGCCCUCCCAGGUAUUGGUGGUACCUCCUGACUUGGUGCCAUCAACAGGUUUGCUCGGUGUGUUCCUGCUUCCCCGUGGUUGCUCAGUGCAUGAGGACACUGGAACAAACACUGAUCCUCGUGGAAUUCUUGCUUCCCUCUGCAACAAUUACUCCGGACUAAAAGUUGCUGAGAUCUUGUUCUAUGCACAGAAAUGUUAGAUGAAAAGUAUUUUGUACCCUAAUAGCAAUUCCUGGAGGAGCUCUUGCAGAAAUCUUCCUGCAGGGCAGGUUGAGGGAUUACAAUCUGCAUCUUUUGUAUCACCUUUUUUAUUUCUUUUUUUUUCUUUUCAGCAGGAGGUGUGGAAGGAGCUGGUGCUUUAAAAUGAGAUGUACAGGAUACAUCUGUGGUGAGAUUUAAAGGAGCUGAUCUCAGAUACACGGAGAGCAAUUUUAGUUAAUGAUAUGACAAAAAAUUGUGGGUUUUUUGUAAGAGUCUGUAGAAUAGCAGAAUGUCCUGAAUAUUCAAAGGCUUUAUUGGUUGUCUUCAUUUUACCCAAAAAUGUUGCUUGAGUAUGGAAGACUUUUGCAAAACUACCAGAGUUUAAAUUGUUUGAAGGGUUUGAAAGUCUUGCCAAGAGGCUCAAAUAACCUUUAAAAUCUGAGUUUUUCCUGAGCUUUGAAUUGCUCAGUCUUUUUUUUUUUCAAACUAACUCCUGCAACUACCCAACCCUUCCUUCAGUUUGGAUUUCGAGCACAGGAAAACAUCUCUGAGGAACUGCAGGAUAGAGACCUUACCAAUCUCAUUAUUUAUUUGGAAAGCUCCCCCCGGGGGUGAUGGCAGAGGAGCUGAAUUUCACAGCUGAACUCUGAUCCUGGGAGCUUUGUCAAGGAGACUCGCGAGGAAUUUGAAGCAGAUAUUUUUACAUUGCAGUGACAUCACCCUGUUCCCUGAGGUCUCCAGGAAUCUUAGGAGCUCUCAGUGUGCUCCUUCCUCCUCGAGUCGUUCCAAAGUGAGAGUGAUUCCACCGCAGCGCUGUCAGAGAACUGUUCCAAAGCCGGUGAAUGAGACCCCGGGGUCUUGUUUAUUUUUACCCAGAUAAAGCCUGGAAUGAGAAGGGGCCAGCGGAGCCACAAAGGGCAGCUGCAGUUUUUGCUCCCUGCACAGGAGGGUGCUCAGCUCCUGCCUUUAUCUGCAGGAAAGAGCCGUUCCCGUGGGCAUCAGAGCCGAGUGGAGAAGCCGUUUUCUGACCUGGGCUUUUCUCGAAGUGGCGCUGAAGGCUCUGUUAAAUACAGCGAGCCGACAAAUCUUCAGCUGUUAAAGACUUCGUGUGUUCAUUGGCUCGGUAAAACCAUCGCAGAGUAUUUAGGUCAGAAGAUGUCACGAUCGUGGCGUUGGGAUCCUCUAAUGGGUGCCCUUAAAGGUGCCACAAUUUUCAGCAGAAUCUUUGAAGUUGCUCAAAAUGAGGCUUUUCCUAAUCUGAUGGGAAUCAGAAUGUGUGAAUCCUUCCACUGAACAAGGAAUGCUCCUGCGUGUAAAUGUCAUUAAUAAAAAUUAACGAGUUGGAGAGGAGAUCCUGAUAUGUUUAUAAUUUAUGGGAUUAUGGUUGUUCCCUGCAGAAUCUGCUAAGGAAAACCCCAGCUUUGCUUCCCAUGGAGUCAGAAAUCAGGAACAGUGAGGAAUUCUUGCUGGUGCUGACAGGAGAACAGAGCCACAGAGGAGGAACCAGCAGCAACAUUCUCCACAAAGCAGAGAAAAUAAG